rnacentral:rRNA from 1 species
UACAGAGGUCCCAAGCGUUGUUCGGAUUCAUUGGGCGUAAAGGGUGCGUAGGCGGCGCGGUAAGUCGGGUGUGAAAUUUCGGAGCUUAACUCCGAAACUGCAUUCGAUACUGCGGUGCUUGAGGACUGGAGAGGAGACUGGAAUUUACGGUGUAGCGGUGAAAUGCGUAGAUAUCGUAAGGAAGACCAGUGGCGAAGGCGGGUCUCUGGACAGUUCCUGACGCUGAGGCACGAAGGUCAGGGGAGCAAACGGG